GGGGGCGAUUGGCUUCGACGGGAAUACGAGAGCAUAAACUGCAAGUCGUAGGCGUACGUAAAACGCAUCCGAAAAAUAAUCGGAAACGAAUUUGCAUUAGCUACUGCUUAAGCUAAGCGGUAGACCUUCUAUAUUCUGGCUCCCACCUGGAAUAUAAAAGGUUCAUGAAUGUGGGAUAGUUACUAGUUUUGUCUAGGAACUAGUAACAAAAUUUUUACUAGACUCGCUACUUAGAUGCUUGUUAGUUGGCUUACUAAGUAGUUAAAUUAUUCAACUAACUAAACUUGUAGAUGUUUAUGUAUUUUCUAUUUUUGGACGUGGGUUCGAAUCCCACCGCCUCCACCA
rnacentral:tmRNA from 1 species